rnacentral:ncRNA from 2 species
CCUUAAGGAACGCAGACUAGGAAUGCCGCAUCCUGUGGCAACGUCUGCAUGGCCAGCUUCCUGGGGG